AGAGUUAAAUAGUACGUGAAAUUGUUGAAAGGGAAACGAUUGAAGUCAGUCAUGUCGUUGAGAAAUCAACUUAACGGGUUUUAGUUUUGGAAUCGAGAUAGAGUCAAAUCAUCUCGGUUUUUGAAUUAGAACUUGUUGGGUGUACUUUCUUUUUGACAGGUCAGCGUCGAUUUUGGGGGUUGUAAAAUGAUUAGGGGAAUGUAGCUCCCUUCGGGGAGUGUUAUAGACCCUGGGGGAUGCAGCCCGCGGGAUCGAGGAUUGCAGCAAAUGCUUUUGGCUUGUCGCCUUUCCGUUGAACGUCUCCCUGCUGGUGACAAUAUUCUUGACACUUUGUGGGAUUUGACGGUUAUUGGUUAGAGCGAUCUAAAAUUUGCUAAGGAUGCUGACGUAAUGGCUUUAAACGACC
rnacentral:rRNA from 1 species